AUAUUAAAAUGAAUGGAUGGUGUGAAAUGGGCUACAGAUUUGUCACAAUAUCUGAGAUUUUAGGUUGAACCUGGUGGCUAGUGUAUCAAGCACAUAACAAAUUUUGCAUAGCCUCUGGGGCGGGGCACUGAAGUAACAUCCCCUAGGAUCCUGAUGAGUUAACUUUGUCAUGCCCAUGGUUUUGGAACAUAAACGAGUUCUUUAGUCAAGUAUUUGUUACUAAAAUAUUUGGUUGAUUAAAUAAAGACAAAUGGAGAAUUUUCUUUUUGCUGACUUUUAUUUCUUUGGUUGUGUAAGCUUUUAUGGAUUUGUACUUUUGUCAGGUUUGCUUUCUUGACAUGGUGACAAGUUUAAUGGAAGUACACUUAAUAUUUUUUUUCAUAUGAGUAAAAUUUCCAUCUGCACAAUCUUCAAAUAUCCAAAGAUGAAAAAUUGGUGAUUUUAUCUUUUUGUUUUUGUAAUUAUUUUUUUCUUGAAUUUUGAGUGACCAGUCCUAUAUGACAUAUCCAUUAAAACUAUACUGCCAGCACAUAAACUUCCGAGAGGGGACUAACCAAAAUCCUUGGUUUAUCAAAGAUAUUUUUUACAAGCUAAAUUAAGAAAUUAUGAAUUCAGUGAGUAGCCUUUUGUAGUUAAUCACUUUGGUAUCUGGGAAUUUAUCAAGUUCAAGGUUUCUUUUGCUGUGACAACCUUGGAGGUCAUAAAUUCGUAGUAUUGUCUCUGAUGUGUUUUCAAUGCAUCAGAUGAGCAUUGAAUUUAAUCUUGCACAGACUUCAAACAGAGCUGAAGAUAUUGAUACAGUCUUGUAGACCUGAUAUUGGGAAUUACAAAAGAGUGGCAGUUUGUGAACGUUGGUCUGAUGUCCAUUAAUCCUUUAUGGUAGCACAGAACUGAACUCUUAGCUUCUUCUUUUGUGGACAGAUGCUACCAUUAUGUCUUUGUACUAGAAUACGUGGAAUUUAUUUGCGUUUUGUUUUCUCUGUAAUGUUUUACUUGUUAUUCUGUAAGGGUUGUCCAAGAAGGCAGAAAUUAGUUACUGUUUUUUUACCUUACUCAUUUUACUUAUUUGACUUAUAAAAAGCAGUAGUUAUCCUUUUUAUUGUUUAUAUUUACUUACCUCUUCUUUUUCAGGUUUCGCUGGUGAUAAAUUAUGAUCUUCCCAACAAUCGAGAACUGUACAUUCACAGAAUUGGUCGUUCAGGUCGUUUCGGACGCAAGGGUGUUGCAAUUAACUUUGUCAAGAGUGACGAUAUCAAGAUUCUUCGGGAUAUUGAGCAAUAUUACAGUACACAGAUUGACGAAAUGCCAAUGAAUGUUGCGGAUUUAAUUUAAAGAGAAUGCUGGCUUAAAGUCUACGCAAGUGGAAGAUAGGGAGAGGGAUGAUGCAUGUGUGUUAGGCUUUUGUACACUGGUGGUGGACUGCUAAAUCUAAAUGGUUUUGACGACAAGUAGCGAAUGGGAGUGGUAAAUGACUUUGCUAAUGCCUGAACUAUUUAUGAGAUUGUUCUUUCACACUGAGUUGAGAACCGUUUAGAAGUUGGGAGUAAUUAUAUAUGUUGAUUAUUUUGUUUUUAAUUUUGGUUUCUAGUUGUGUUAAAAUAUUGGGAAUUUGAAGCCAAAGUUGGGAGUAAAUUGUAUUUGUUGAUAAUUUUUGCUUUUAAA